UUAAUGAGAGGCUUAACGUAAUCUGUAAUUUGGCUCUGGAUAAGGCAAGAAAUGCUUAAUUGCAUUUGUGUCUUUUUGUAGCUUAAAGUGGCAGCUACAGAGGUCCUUGCUCUAGACUGGGACUGUGAUAUAGAGGAAGGGAAAUUUUAAUGUGCUGUGUUUCUGGUGAAAAUUCCGCCCCCGCUGCCCCCACACUGCUAUUUGCUCUAGGAGGAAAAACAUAUGAUUGGCCAUAAGUCUUUUCUCCCAGGGCAUAUACCCGCCUUGGAAAGUGGUGAUUUUUGUUGGGAAAAUGGCUCAGAGGGGAAGGAUUAAAUCGGGAUUUGAACUCCUACAACUGCUCUUUGUCUACAUAUCAGUUGUCAGGGUCCCAAUCCCUCUGUUCUUUUCUGUUUAAGAGAAGAGUUGAGACUCUUAAACAUUCACUUGUGCACCAAAAAGUAUGGAUCAUUGCCCUCUUGCCUGUCCCUGCUCUUCUUUCUGGUCCUGCUCUAUGAGCCAUAUUUCAAGUUUUGGAUCUUUUAUAUGUAUCCCUCAAAUCUUGACCAACAAGGCACUGCUGGGGUUGCAUUUCUUUGGUUUUGGGGAGCUGCUGGGCUGCUUCUCUUCCUGGUAACCUUUUUUGGAGGUGGUAGCAUGUUCUAGAAUUGUUAGUCUAAGGAAUAAUAAGCAGAACAUUACUAGAAGGUUGUGACAGUUUUAGACAUAGACUGGUGGUGUGGUGGUCAGAGUGUUAUAUUAAGACUUGUGGUAGCAAGCAUGACUUGUCCCCUUAGCUAAGCAGAAUUUGCCCUGAUUGCAUAUGAAUGGGAGACUAGAAGUGUGAGCACUGUGAGAUAUUCCCUUCAGGGGAUGGAGCCGCUCUGGGAAAAGCAGAAGGUUUCAAGUUCCCUCCCUGGCUUCUCCAAGAUAGGACAAGAUCUUUUUUUUUAAUAGGACAAGAUUUUUUUUAUUGAACCAACAAACUACCAAAGCAUACACUUACUACCGCUGGCUGUUUCCUGCAUCCCACCCUCCUUGAAGAAGCACCACACUGUACUAUACUUGAUUAGUUUGUGAAGCCACAUGGUGCUAAGCACCACUGUUUAUCAGCUGAGAGAUGUCUCCCUACAUGAAUUCAUGGAUACUUCCACUGGAUCUUCUUCAAAUGAUUAGUUUGGAUUCAGAAUGGAUUCUUCAUGAUAUAUGCUUGUGUUGCAGCAGACAGCAUCUUAGAAGACACAUUCUCUGCUGUGUCUGAGAAAUGAAGUCAGGAUUCUUCUUAAAAUUGUGCCUACCACCUGCAGUUUUUGUACUAAUAUUAAACAUAGAUUGCAAAAGUUUAACAUCUGCUGUUCUAAAGAUGGACACCUUUACAAAUGAUUAAAAGUUUUUUAUUGGUUAGUUCGAUCAACCAGGUAUUAGAGAUCUAACAAUAACCCUUCCUUUGUUGCUUGAUGUUUUUAAUUUUCCUGUGUAAACAACUCUUGAACAAUUCUGUUCCCAAGAAACAGAAUUGCCUCUUGGCUUUGUAGACGAGAAUAAGGUUAUUAAGCAGAUGAUGUUUUUAAAAAAAGAUGAUGGUAAGAAGACAUAUUUUUAAAAUGAUGCUCAUGAUCAAACUAAGCCAUUAUUUCCCAUGAAACCCUGUGUGAUCUUCACAGAUGCUAAUGAUAACUCUGCUUUUUUCUCACUUUUACUAACUAACCCUUUAUCUGUUUGCCUGGUGGUUGUUAUUAUUUCUAUUGCAAAGCAAAAAAUAAAGACCUUUUCCAAGUUGUCUCAA